AUGAGGGAAGACCUGGGAAAUAGUACCCUAGGAGAGGCCAGUAAUGUCCAAUCAGAACUGAACCCCUGCGGCGCUGGAAGAGGGAUGAGUCAUCCUUCCACUAUCAGGAUGCACCCCUGCAGCACUUGCCCCGCCCCCCAGAUUUCAUCGGGGACUUCUUUAGCAGAGAUUCCAUUGCUUCUGAAAACUGAUUGUGAAUAUAAAGGAUUCACCACUGGCUGGACAUUCUGGGAAGCUGAAGCAGGAAGAUACCAAAGGUGAGCUCAACAGAGGCAAUUUAGUGACUUCACAAGAUUCUGCCUGAA
rnacentral:lncRNA from 1 species